rnacentral:lncRNA from 1 species
GAUGAUUUAUUGGGGUAUGAUUUUGGAUACCGUCUAAACUGCCACAAUUCCUAACGGACGGAAAUUUAAAAAUUUGAAUGAAAAAGCCAAAAAAAGAGAAACAUGAACCGAUGUGAAAAUCACUCGUUCCAACGCAGAAUGAUAGUAGGACAAUCGACACCCAACGUUUCUUUGUCUGAACUCAACAUUAUCUAGACACUCUCCACAGCUAGCCCACUCUACUUAAAAGCUGACACACCCCACCCUCUCAUUCCUAUAUUCACACACCACUCAACACUUCACUCUUCACUUCAGAUUUUGCCUUAGAUUUACUUGCAUUUCCCCAGUAAUCUCUCUCUCUCUUCACUUCAGGUUCUGCUUGGAUUUUCUUGCAUUCCCCCAGUAAUCUCUCUCUCCCUCUUGCACUCUCUCUCCCUCACUCCUCCCCCCCUCUCUCCCUCACUCCUCCCCCCCUCUC